rnacentral:rRNA from 1 species
UACGUACUGUGCGAACGUUAUUCGGAAUCACUGGGCUUAAAGGGUGCGUAGGCGGCCAAUUAAGUAGGGUGUGAAAGGUUACGGCUCAACCGUGACAUUGCGCUCUAGACUGAUUGGCUCGAGUGAGAUAGGGGUGUGCGGAACUUCCAGUGGAGCGGUGAAAUGUGUUAAUAUUGGAAGGAACGCCGGUGGCGAAAGCGGCACACUGGGUCUUAACUGACGCUGAGGCACGAAAGCCAGGGGAGCGAACGGG